UCUCUAACUCUGUGCUUUUCCUGUCGAAGCUUCAACAAAUAUUAGUAAACAAAGUUAAUUUCCUUCUAGGUCCCGGUCAUGCAGCGUCUAUAUUAAAAAGCGGCCGUCCUCAGGACCCGACCCAGGGCUUAUUUCACAUUUUUAAGUUUUAACUCUUCGACUUUUCUGCCCCGUGCGGCAAAUCGGACGGUUUCGCCGUUCGAUGUUUUUCUCCGUCGCUUCGCCGAUUUGAAUGAGACGAGUGUUUUUAUAACAACGGCCAUGUCUUCUGAACUGAUCGGAGAGCUUGGUCAAGUGGGUCUCACAAUUGGCCAGCCUAGGCAGAGACAAAUGGACGAUGAUGGGGAUAAAGAUGUCGAUCUGCUCUCUGAUGUCUCUUCCCCCCAUCAGUCAGAGCGGAAGAAGCCGCGCUACUCAAACCACAAGCCAAAGAAGUUCCGUUCCGCCUGGAUGAUGUUCGACAUAUUUAAAGACUGGCUCAGGCCGCACGCCAGUCCGGAGUUUGCGACAUGCAUAGUUUGUUGUCGUGUUAUUAAAGCUGGGAAAAGCGAACUGGAAAAGCACGCUACUGGUAAACGUCAUCUACGAAUGUUGAAGAUUCACAAAGGAGGAGGUCAGAACUCCGAAUCAAAAGAAGCCUCAGUUGAAAAUGUGGAAAAUGAUAGUAAUAGUGACUCAAAUUUUGGAGGAAAAGUAGAUCAUCAUUGUAAAGGUGAUUCUGUUGAUAGUUCACAAAACUCAGCUGAUCUCUUAUGUGAAGAACCUGUUAUUUCUAAAGCAGUAGUUACCAGGCCUGCUCCUCAUUGGAAGGCCACUGCAAUUGUGAACGGUCAUGUGACAAAAUUAGAUCUGAACGGAUACAAAGGCCGUUACGUGAUCUUGGUUUUCUACUGCAAUGACUUUUCGAAAGUGUGCUCAAGUGAGAUAACAGCGCUGAGCGACCGAUUGGGUGAGUUUCGAUCUCUGAAAACGGAAAUCGUCGCAUGUUCCACAGACUCUCACCUGGCGCAUUUGGUGUGGGUGAAGACCCCGAGGGGCGAAGGUGGAGUCGCUAAUCCCAAAAUACCCCUGCUCGCUGAUCCAAACCAUUCCAUCGCUAAAGACUACGGGGUUUACCUCAGUGAAAAGGGUCAUGCCCUCAGAUCACAUUUUGUUAUUGACCGACGAGGCAUUUUGAGGCAUAUGGCAGUCAACGAUUCUCUUGUUGGACGAGGAACUGAUGAGUUGUUAAGGCUACUGUAUGCGUUUCAGUGUGUCGAUGAUACUGAUGAGCCUCUUGUGGCUGACUGGACACCAAACACUAUGUAAAAUUUUCGCUGUUCAAUAGAUGCUCGCAGUCAAAUUCAAGUUACCUUGCCAAUUAGUACCAAAGAGUGCUUUUUAUUAAUUGGAUUUGUAGCAUUUUGAAUUGCUACAUAAUUGUAUAAUAUUUAUAGGAGUUAUUUUUAUGAGAAUAGACACUACAUUAAAAAAAAUGACAUUUUGUACUUUGAAAUUGUCAUUGAUAACUAAUAAGUUUCCAUACGUUUAUUAAGCGUAAGUUAUUAUUUGAAAUGAGUGUUUUUCAAUUUUAUAACUUUUUUCUUUCCACGUUUUAAAAUACUAUUACAUUCUUCCUUUAUUAUCAGUAUUCCAAAUCCAUAGGUACUUAUUAUUAUUAUUUUUUUGUUUGUUUUGUUUUAAUGAGCAUUAGGUAUUUUAUAACCAGUUAAUGUGUUUCACAUGCUGUGUUUGAAAUUCACUAAGAGCGCAAUACUUUUAUGUUAAAAAACAAAAAAAAUCCCCAUUUGUUAAAACAACCAGAUUUCUCAAGAUCUCAUCUUGAUUUGCUGUCAAAUUGAUCGGAAGACGUUUAUGUUAUCCUUACAGACUUAACAAGUUGUCAUACAUCUGACUAAUUUUGGGGAGGAUGAAGAAAUGCCGAAAAAAGUUCCCUGACAGAAGAUUCUUUGUAUGCCGAUAAGCCAAGAGUAAGACUUUUUUUGGGGGUUUGCUGUACUCCGAAAAAUAGGUCAAAUCAUAUUUGAAUAUUUGGAUGAUGUACAUUCUAUAAACGAAAUAAAAUUUGAAUAGAAUUAUUUUGAUAAUAUAACCAAUUUUGACCGGCGGUCGAGAUUCCUUCGUAUUGAAAACAGACAGUAAAAUUAUUGUUUUUCUUACCAACAGGUUUAAAUUUUAAUCACUUUUUAAUUUUUCUUUUUAGUCAGUAAUUACGGCAAAAUAUAUUUGAUUUUUUUUUUUUGACAUUUUCAUAUUUAUUAAUCUAUAAGACAAGACAUGAGAAAGAAGAAUGUAAUUAGCGAUAGUUAGUUGCUUUAAUUUUUUUUGGACAUGUAGUUAUACAAGUUUGUGAAUUACUCAUAAACCGAACAGAUUUUUGUACAUUCAAGUUUAUUGUUUUAAAUAAACAGAUUACAA
rnacentral:misc_RNA from 1 species